AAAAAAGACAAAUUUGGGUUUUCAUGUCCAACGUUUGACUGUCUAUCUUAUAUAUUUUUUUUAAAUUAAUAUUUUUAUUGCUGUUAGAUGAUAAAACAUGAUUAAUACUUUAUGCAUGACUUGUCUUUUUAAUUUUUUUAUAAUUUUUUCAAAUAAGACGGACGGUCAAACGUUGGGCACGGAAAUCUAGGGUUUGUCUUUUU
rfam:Oryza nivara chromosome 10, whole genome shotgun sequence.